UACGAAGGGGGGCUAGCGUUAAUCGGAAUUACUGGGCGUAAAGCGUGCGCAGGCGGUUUUGUAAGCCAGAUGUGAAAUCCCCCGGGCUUAACCUGGGAAUGGCAUUUGGGACUGCAAGGCUGGAGUUUGGCAGAGGAGACUGGAAUUCCUGGUGUAGCAGUGAAAUGCGUAGAUAUCAGGAGGAAUACCGAUGGCGAAGGCAGGUCUCUGGGCUAUAACUGACGCUCAUGCACGAAAGCGUGGGGAGCAAACAGG
rnacentral:rRNA from 1 species